rnacentral:ribozyme from 1 species
UAGAAAUGCAGCACUGGUACGGGUAUGGAUCCAACGCCUCUCGAAGGAUACUUAGGCUUUCCGUACCCUACUCAUACUCAAAACGUCCCCGACAUGCAGAACGAUAACAUGUCUUUCCGCAUAUCUGAGCUCGGGUAUACGGGGAAACCCAACCCCUUGGGAGGAUGGAAGACAUAGCUAAUUUGAGAGAA